rnacentral:rRNA from 1 species
CAGCAGCCGCCGCGGGAAUACGGAGGAUCCAAGCGUUAUCCGGAAUCAUUGGGUUUAAAGGGUCCGUAGGCGGUCUUGUAAGUCAGUGGUGAAAGCCCAUCGCUCAACGGUGGAACGGCCAUUGAUACUGCAGGACUUGAAUUAUUGGGAAGUAACUAGAAUAUGUAGUGUAGCGGUGAAAUGCUUAGAGAUUACAUGGAAUACCAAUUGCGAAGGCAGGUUACUACCAAUUGAUUGACGCUGAUGGACGAAAGCGUGGGUAGCGAACAGGAUUAGAUACCCCUGUAGUCCCUGUCUCUUAUAC